GGAGCUGAGUCGCCCCAAGGCGAAGUUUAACCUCCGUAAACUGGACAGCAAGGUGCCCUCCAAGACAUAAACAACUCCAAACGCAUUGAGAACACAAAGGCGGAGUCUGUUGAGGAAGAGGACAGCCACUUCUCCAGUCUGCGCAGGUCUGCGAGUGAAAUCACUUCCUGUCUGGUUGUUCAACUUUGGCAGCCUGCAGCAUCCCAGUUGAAGGGGGAGAAAGGGAGGACGACUAGUCACCCUGAGAGAGCAGAGAAGACUCAGAGGGCUUAUGUCCUAGCCCCAAACCCAGAUCACCCUGAGGACUUCCCUGCCUUAGCUGUGGGGAGAUUCAUUAUUUUACCAAGACUACAAAGGAAUUCCUUUUGUUUGCAUUUGGCUCCUGGUGAAAUGGGUUGCACUUACAUUUGAAAAAAAAAAUCUAUUCUUACACAUUUGGGUGUUAUUUCUCCUCCUGCCUUGUGUUCCUAUGGAAGCACUGAAGGCAAUGUUCAAUAAGCCCUUUGACAAUAGAUGUACUGUUGCAGAUGGCUUGUCUUGUCUUACUUUGUUGCUCUGAAGGACACAACAGACCAACACUAACACAGGCCUUGCACAGUGGAUGCGCAUCCUCAGAAUAUUGGCAGUCAUUUUCGGAUUCUACAUGUUAAAUCGCCACCGUUCGACGACACCCAGCAGGUGAUCUACUGCACACCACUGAUGUCGGUGUUGGUCUCUUGUCCUUCACACACUUAGUCUAACCAGUUCGUUAGCGGUUUUCUACAUUAUAUGUCCCCCAGUGGUGAGUUUGUAGAUAAUGUACAGUCUGCAGCUGUGUAUUCAGAUAAUUCACCACAGCACACUAUGAACAUGAAUAAUUUACUAUCCUGUGGUCAUCAAUCACCAUCACGCUCCUGUUCUCAGUGGCUCUAAUGUAGCACAAAGUAUGCAAGAUUAAAAGUACAAAGCUUGAAAAUGGUGAGAAGUGAAUGGUGCUUGGCAGGGGUGUCCAUGAACUGUAAAUUCAUUUGGUUGCUGUGGUAGCACAUGAGCAGGAUGUCACCAAAAAUGACCAAAGACAAUGGUCAGUAUAAUUGGCGGUAUUUUAUUUUAUAAAGCUGGUAUAUUCCAUGUGCUCCGAGCAGAUAUAAUGCAUGAAUGAGAUGAGGCCCCUUUAGGACCAUUUUGUAUGUAAGACUGAUUACAAUUGAUAGCAUGGUUGAUCAUAACAAGUACAAAAAUAUUUACAAAGUACAAAUACAUUUUUCAGUAUAUCAAAAUGUUGACUUAUUUACAGUUUAAGUACAGCAGCUCAACAAAAAAGGACAACCGACUGGAAGCUUCACUGGAGAAUGAAAGAAAGCUGGAGCAUAUUAAGGGUGUUAUUCAGUCUGCGUCGCUGAAGCGCUAGAAAUGUAAAGAUCAUUUCUGAUUGAACGGACAUAUGCAGAGUUUACCAUGAAUGCAGUCUCCACUAACGCGGGAACAUUGCCAUUCAAUUUCAAUCAAGCGGGAAUGUUGAACUUCCGCGAUCCGGACUGAAUAGAGCCAAGUGAAAUACAACAAGCGAAAUGAGGAUUUACAACUUGGACAAACCAUUGAUUAUUGAAAAGAGGGUGGCAUUGUAUUACUUCUGUGCAUGACAUUUCUGUCUAUAACAUUCUGAAAGAUGCUCCUCAAAGAGCAUACCCUCUAGAGUAGACAUGGUGCAUGUUCAAGAGGGCCGACAUGAGCUUUUCACAAAUGAUUUCAUCUACAAAACACCUCAACUUCCAAACAGCUGGACAUGACCUGCUCUAGAUCAUA